rnacentral:rRNA from 1 species
UACGUAGGGGGCGAGCGUUGUCCGGAUUUAUUGGGCGUAAAGCGCGCGCAGGCGGUUCAUUAAGUCUGGUGCGAAAGCUCUCGGCUCACCUGGGAGAGGGCACUGGAGACUGGUGGACUGGAGCGAGGCAGAGGCCGGUGGAAUUCCCGGUGUAGUGGUGAAAUGCGUAGAGAUCGGGAGGAACACCAGUGGCGAAGGCGGCCGGCUGGGCCUUGACUGACGCUGAGGCGCGACAGCGUGGGGAGCGAACCGG